UACGUAGGUGGCGAGCGUUGUCCGGAUUUAUUGGGCGUAAAGCGCGCGCAGGUGGUGCGGUAAGUCUGUCGUGAAAUCUCCUGGCUCAACUGGGAGGGUGCGGUGGAGACUGCCGGACUGGAGGCACUCAGAGGCCGGUGGAAUUCCCGGUGUAGUGGUGAAAUGCGUAGAUAUCGGGAGGAACACCUGUGGCGAAAGCGGCUCACUGGACCACAACUGACGCUGAGGCGCGAAAGCUAGGGGAGCAAACAGG
rnacentral:rRNA from 1 species